rnacentral:lncRNA from 1 species
AAAAUGAAAAGAAAAACAAAGUUUUGUGGAUUCACAAUCGCUUCAAUUACAUUCUCCUAAUGACUUCUAAAUAAAAAUAGAGAAAUGCAAGUUGUAAUUGAAAGAACGAAUAAUGCAUAUUCAUAACCUUAAAGAUUUUUUCCACCGUCCAUCAAUUUUAUAAAACGCACUGGAAUUACAGCAUAUAUCCCUAGGGCAAAAUCCAGAAAACUUAGGGCUCCACUAUGUCUCAAAAAUAAGACAUAGGAAAUCAGGUAGUAGGAACAACAUACUAGGGUAAAAACACAAAUUAUGCAUUCGGGAUCUAUAAUAUUUUGUAAAUAAAGACCCAGAGCCUAUAAAAAUAUCUCUAUUGCUUCCCUGAUGCAUCUUAUUCCUAAGAACUUGACAAUCUUUGGGGGUGAUUUUUUACUUAAAUCGACAAAUGAUCUCCACCAUAAUUAUAUCACAAAUCACAUAUUGAACUGUGGUACAAAGGUAAUCUAUAGGGGACGUGAUGGCCGCAAAAGCUAGAAUUAAUAAAAUAGAUGGUGCUAUAAAGAAGCAUUGAAAGACAUGGAAGCAUACUGUUGCGGUGGUGAAUUUGAUUUCCGGUUCAGCAACAGCUCCCACUUCUUGACCACUGCCACCAAUAUCUUGUUCAGCAAUUGGUCCCCUUCUUGACCACUGUUGUCGACAUAUCAUAAAGGAUCCUGAAAGAGUCCGCAUACCAUUAAUCCUGUUAUUUUUGUGCUCUGCAUUUUUUUUUUCACCGACUUUAAAUUUCUUAUCACACUAGCAAAUCUUAUACAUAAAUCUUAAAAUAAAUUACAAAUAUUGAGUCUAGGAUCAACAGAAGCAAUUACGACAUUUCAGAUAUGGGAUAAAAUACAUUUUCAUAGUUGGAAAAUGAUGCUAAAGCCUCUUGUGUUUCAGAAGGAAGUAUAUCCUUGCAGUGAUGAGAGUUAGGAGGAAUUGAGAAGGGAGAGAGAGUGAGGCGUGAAGAUUGCAGAAUGAAUUGGGAAAAGAUGAG